rnacentral:rRNA from 1 species
UACGGAGGGUGCAAGCGUUAUCCGGAUUCACUGGGUUUAAAGGGUGCGUAGGAGGGCAGGUAAGUCAGUGGUGAAAUCUCCAAGCUUAACUUGGAAACUGCCGUUGAUACUAUCUGUCUUGAAUGUUGUGGAGGUGAGCGGAAUAUGUCAUGUAGCGGUGAAAUGCUUAGAUAUGACAUAGAACACCAAUUGCGAAGGCAGUUCACUAUGCUUGUAUUGACACUGAGGCACGAAAGCGUGGGGAUCAAACAGG